rnacentral:rRNA from 1 species
AGGACGAACGCUGGCGGCGUGCCUAACACAUGCAAGUCGAGCGAGGAGAUUCCUUCGGGAUGAUCCUAGCGGCGGACGGGUGAGUAACACGUGGGCAACCUGCCUCAUAGAGAGGAAUAGCCUUCCGAAAGGGAGAUUAAUACCUCAUAACAUUGCAGUUUCGCAUGGAACAGCAAUUAAAGGAGUAAUCCGCUAUGAGAUGGGCCCGCGGCGCAUUAACUAGUUGGUGAGGUAACGGCUCACCAAGGCGACGAUGCGUAGCCGACCUGAGAGGGUGAUCGGCCACAUUGGGACUGAGACACGGCCCAGACUCCUACGGGAGGCAGCAGUGGGGAAUAUUGCACAAUGGGGGAAACCCUGAUGCCAGCAACGCCGCGUGAGUGAUGACGGCCUUCGGGUUGUAAAGCUCUGUCUUCAGGGACGAUAAUGACGGUACCUGAGGAGGAAGCCACGGCUAACUACGUGCCAGCCGCCGC